rnacentral:lncRNA from 1 species
AGUGGCGGGGCGGCGCGGCCGAGGGCGGAGGGCGGCGGGCCGGGCGGGGCGGGAUGGGGGCCGGGGGCGGCGGGCGCCGCACUAGCUGAGGCCCGACGCAGGGCCGGGCGCGCCCAGGGCCGGAGCGCAGCGGCCGGAGGGGCCGCGGAGGCGACGCCGAGGCCGCGCGCGCGCGCGCGCGCGACGAGCAGGUGGCGGCGGCUGCAGAUUUGAGGGGAGCCCUGUGACCGCUUCCCCUCCCGGCACCGGUGCAACAGUGACGCGACUCCGAAUCCUGGAUCCGAAUCCUCCCCUGCUCCCCCUGGGAUCACAGGUGGCAAGACGAAGAGGAGCAGACAGAGGCGAGAGACCGCCCCACCGUGGUCAUCGGGGGGGCGCGGGGACGGAGCCCCGGUCAGGCCCUGGCCCGCACACCAGGGGCCACGGCCAGAAAAGGUGCAGAGACCAAGCGCCGGGGCCGACGUGGGGCGGACGGAGUCCCACCGUGGGUGCGAAGGGGCGCCCGCGGGGCAGACCGUGUGGCGGGACCUGCCGGGGAGGCGGCCUCACUCCUGGGCACGCACCAGUGAGCGCACGGCAGGGCCCGUGCGCUCAGUGUCCCGGCCGCUGUGGUCCUGACGCUCAAACCCCGGGAUCGCUCUACCUGCCCGUCUCCAAAGAGAAUGAAGAGGUAGCUUCUGGAAUAUUCACGCGGUGGGAGAGAGAAGGAGGCAGUUACAGGUUUAAAUUAAAAGUUCGGAAAAGGUGGAAGAGAGAGCUGUCGAUACAGAAGACGGGCCAGGGAACCCAGCACACGUGUCGUCCGCAGCCCAGAGCCUGAUGCCCCCUUUCGGGGUAGAAGUUCGCGUUUAUGCCCAGAAGUGUAUUUUGCUGGAACUGUCUUACAAAGAGCCUCUCUGCGAGCGUCGAGCGGAUCACAUAAGAUUUUUCCAUCCACCCGUUAAUUUGGUGAAGCCAUGAGGAGCUUCUUUGCCUUCCUGGACACCGCGUCUGGGCCGCGGGUCGCUGUUUUCUGCUCCGUUGCUGUGUUUGGUCGGUCCGUGACGUUUCGUUUGGGGUUGUCUGCGCCCAUUGCCAGAGUGAGUCUGGCUGGCGAUUGUCCCGUAUCACACCGUCCUCGUCCGGCCCGGCGUCUGGUUGUGCCGGUCUCCUAACCGGAGUCAGGCACCGUUGCCCCUUUCUGUGCUGUGUAAGACACACCACAUAAGCUCGAGACUGUGUGUGUCUUAUGUGGAUUCUUGGUCUGCGUAGAUCCUAGUUCACGCCCUGGUUCGGCUGCAGAUCUGUUCGGGUUUCCCGACCCUUGUUCUGGGGAGGAAUGUGCGUGUGUAACAGGCGGCCCCAGCGCUUGCUGGCUUUAAACAGCAGCACGUGUCGUCUCCCCGUUUCCGUGGUCCAGGAGCCCAGGCACAGCCUGGCCGGGUCCUCAGGCUCCGCACUCUCACCGGCCGCCGUCGUCCCUGAAGGCUCGGUGGAAGGACCCAUUCCCAAGUUCGCUCCCGCGUGGAGGUCAGGAUUCAGUUCCUUGCCGGUCGUUCUGAGG